UGGGGAAUUUUGCACAAUGGGGGAAACCCUGAUGCAGCGACGCCGCGUGAUUUAGAAGGCCUUCGGGUUGUAAAAAUCUUUUGUAUAGGAAGAAAAUGACAGUACUAUACGAAUAAGGACCGGCUAAUUACGUGCCAGCAGCCGCGGUAAUACGUAGGUGGCAAGCGUUGUCCGGAUUUAUUGGGCGUAAAGCGAGCGCAGGCGGUUAGAAAAGUCUGAAGUGAAAGGCAGUGGCUCAACCAUUGUAGGCUUUGGAAACUGUUUAACUUGAGUGCAGAAGGGGAGAGUGGAAUUCCAUGUGUAGCGGUGAAAUGCGUAGAUAUAUGGAGGAACACCGGUGGCGAAGGCGACUCUCUGGUCUGUAACUGACGCUGAGGCUCGAAAGCGUGGGUAGCAAACAGG
rnacentral:rRNA from 1 species